rnacentral:rRNA from 1 species
GAAGAAAGAGGGAGGAGGGAAGAAUACAUGCAAGUAGAACGCACAGUUUAUACCGUAGCUUGCUACACCAUAGACUGUGAGUUGCGAACGGGUGAGUAACGCGUAGGUAACCUGCCUGGUAGCGGGGGAUAACUAUUGGAAACGAUAGCUAAUACCGCAUAAUAUUAAUUAUUGCAUGAUAAUUAAUUGAAAGGUGCAAUUGCACCACUACCAGAUGGACCUGCGUUGUAUUAGCUAGUAGGUGAGGUAACGGCUCACCUAGGCGACGAUACAUAGCCGACCUGAGAGGGUGAUCGGCCACACUGGGACUGAGACACGGCCCAGACUCCUACGGGAGGCAGCAGUAGGGAAUCUUCGGCAAUGGACGAAAGUCUGACCGAGCAACGCCGCGUGAGUGAAGAAGGUUUUCGGAUCGUAAAGCUCUGUUGUAAGAGAAGAACGGGUGUGAGAGUGGAAAGUUCACACUGUGACGGUAGCUUACCAGAAAGGGCCGGCUCCCUACGUC